rnacentral:rRNA from 1 species
CCUACGGGUGGCUGCAGUGAGGAAUAUUGGUCAAUGGACGAGAGCCUGAACCAGCCAAGUAGCGUGAAGGAUGACUGCCCUAUGGGUUGUAAACUUCUUUUAUCAAGGAAUAAAACGAGGCACGUGUACCUCUUCGCGUGUACUUUGUGAAUAAGGAUCGGCUAACUCCGUGCCAGCAGCCGCGGUAAUACGGAGGAUCCGAGCGUUAUCCGGAUUUCUUGGGUUUAAAGGGUGCGUAGGCGGCCUAUUAAGUCAGCGGUGAAAGUCUGUGGCUCAAACAUAGAAUUGCCGUUGAAACUGGGAGGCUAGAGUGUGUUAGAGGCAGGCGGAAUGCGUGGUGUAGCGGUGAAAUGCUUAGAUAUCACGCAGAACCCCGAUUGCGAAGGCAGCAUGCCAGGCCAUGACUGACGCUGAGGCACGAAAGCGUGGGGAUCAAACAGGAUUAGAUACCCCUGUAGUC